rnacentral:rRNA from 1 species
GCGUAGUCGAUGGGAAACGGGUUAAUAUUCCCGUACCUUGUAAUGUUCCGAUGGGAAGACGCAUGAGGUGAAGCCCGGCCGGGCGACGGUUGUCCCGGUCCAAGCAUGUAAGCCGUUGAUUGAUCCAGGUAAAUCCGGAUUGAGAGGUGAGCUGCGAUAGCGAGUGGAGCUACGGCAAAGCGAAGCGGGUGUAAUCAUAGUGCCAAGAAAUACUCUCUAAGGUUAGGCAUUACGAGACCGUACCGAAAACCGACACAGGUGGGUGAGAUGAAUAUUCUAAGGCGCGCGAGAGAACUCACGUUAAGGAACUCGGCAAAAUACAUACGUAACUUCGGGAUAAGUAUGGCCUCUUUUGGAUGUUAAAGUUUACGAGAGGUUGCAGAGAAUAGGCAAAAGCGACUGUUUACCAAAAACACAGGUCUCUGCGAAAUCGUAAGAUGACGUAUAGGGACUGACACCUGCCCGGUGCCGGAAGGUUAAGAGG